CACGGUAGGGGGCGAGCGUUGUCCGGAUUUAUUGGGCGUAAAGAGCUCGUAGGCGGCUCAGUAAGUCAGGUGUGAAAACUCCAGGCUCAACCUGGAGACGCCACCUGAUACUGCUGUGGCUAGAGUCCGGUAGGGGAGCAUGGAAUUCCUGGUGUAGCGGUGAAAUGCGCAGAUAUCAAGAGGGAACACCUGAGGUGAAGACGGGUUGCUGGGCUGACACUGACGCUGAGGCGCGAAAGCCAGGGGAGCAAACGGG
rnacentral:rRNA from 1 species